CAAGGAUUCCCCUAGUAACUGCGAGUGAAGCGGGAAAAGCUCAAAUUUAAAAUCUGGUGGUCUCUGGCCAUCCGAGUUGUAAUCUAGAGAAGUGUUAUCCGCGCUGGACCGUGUACAAGUCUCCUGGAAUGGAGCGUCAUAGAGGGUGAGAAUCCCGUCUUUGAUACGGACUGCCAGGGCUUUGUGAUGCGCUCUCAAAGAGUCGAGUUGUUUGGGAAUGCAGCUCAAAAUGGGUGGUAAAUUCCAUCUAAAGCUAAAUAUUGGCGAGAGACCGAUAGCGAACAAGUACCGUGAGGGAAAGAUGAAAAGAACUUUGGAAAGAGAGUUAAACAGUACGUGAAAUUGCUGAAAGGGAAACGCUUGAAGUCAGUCGCGUUGUCUGGGGAUCAACCUUACUUUUGUUGGGCGUACUUUCCAGAUGACGGGUCAGCAUCAAUUUUGACCGUUGGAUAAAGUCUAGAGGAAUGUGGCAUCUUCGGAUGUGUUAUAGCCUUUGGUCGCAUACAACGGUUGGGAUUGAGGAACUCAGCACGCCGAAAGGCCGGGUACUUGUACCACGUUCGUGCUUAGGAUGCUGGCAUAAUGGCUUUAAUCGACCCGUCUUGAAACACGGACCAAGGAGUCUAACAUGCCUGCGAGUAUUUGGGUGGAAAACCCGAGUGCGUAAUGAAAGUGAAAGUUGAGAUCCUCGUCAUGGGGAGCAUCGACGCCCGGACCAGACCUUUUGUGACGGAUCUGCGGUAGAGCAUGUAUGUUGGGACCCGAAAGAUGGUGAACUAUGCCUGAAUAGGGUGAAGCCAGAGGAAACUCUGGUGGAGGCUCGUAGCGAUUCUGACGUGCAAAUCGAUCGUCAAAUUUGGGUAUAGGGGCGAAAGACUAAUCGAACCAUCUAGUAGCUGGUUCCUGCCGAAGUUUCCCUCAGGAUAGCAGAAACUCAUUUCAGAUUUAUGUGGUAAAGCGAAUGAUUAGAGGCCUUGGGGUUGAAACAACCUUAACCUAUUCUCAAACUUUAAAUAUGUAAGAACAAACCGUCUCUUGAUUGGACCGUUUGGCGAUUGAGAGUU
rnacentral:rRNA from 1 species